AGCAGCCGCCGCGGUAAUACGAAGGGUGCAAGCGUUAAUCGGAAUUACUGGGCGUAAAGCGCGCGUAGGUGGUUCAUUAAGUUGGAUGUGAAAGCCCUGGGCUCAACCUGGGAACUGCAUCCAAAACUGGUGAGCUAGAGUACGGUAGAGGGUAGUGGAAUUUCCUGUGUAGCGGUGAAAUGCGUAGAUAUAGGAAGGAACACCAGUGGCGAAGGCGACUACCUGGACUGAUACUGACACUGAGGUGCGAAAGCGUGGGGAGCAAACAGGAUUAGAUACCCCCGUAGUCCCUGUCUCUUAUAC
rnacentral:rRNA from 1 species